UAAUACUAGCGGUCCAAGUCGCAGCCAUUUUUAUUGGGUCUAAAACAUCCGUAGCUUGCUUCUUAAGUUCCUUGUGAAAUUUUACAUCUCAAAUGUAGAGCGGGCAAGGAGUACUGGGAGGCUAGAGACUGGAAGACGUAACGAGUACGUUCUAAGUAGUGGUAAAAUAUUUUAAUCUAGAACGGACUCACAAUAGCGAAGGCAUCUUACGAGAACAGAUCUGACAGUCAGGGAUGAAGGCUAGGGGCGCAAAACGGAUUAGAUACCCGUGUAGUCCUAGCAGUAAACACUGCACACUAAACAUCAGUACCUCCUCGAGAGGUAUUGGUGCUGUAGGGAAGCCGAAGAGUGUGCUACCUGGGAAGUAUAGUCGCAAGACCG
rnacentral:rRNA from 1 species